rnacentral:SRP_RNA from 11 species
CCAAGGUGAGAGUUGGUUCGUGUGACCCGAGUAAAAGCUCUGGUUACUUGAGUCCCCUGUUAAGGAGCACUGCGUUAAGUUGGUUUUUCAAGUCUACAAAAACCUUUGGCUCUUGAUAAUGG